UGUAACGGUUCAAUGGCUGUAGCUUCGGCUCAGGGCUUUAACGCAGCCGCAACGGUGGACGGCGAAUUGAGUACUGUUGAGUGUACUGGAGCGUUUUGUCAUUCUACUUGUAAUGGUCACUCAAACACAUGCAUGGCCAAGUGUUUUGGACGUGCAUGCAAUGCUGAGUGCAACUCAUCUUCAUGCUUGGCAAAUG